ACCCCCCUCCGUUUUUUCGCCAGCCACCAACCUCGACCACCAAUUCAGAUCUCCCUGCCGCUCGUCGCCAACCUUGAUCGCAGCCCAGAUCCGAGUCGCGAUCAACCCAGAUCCGACUUCGGCCUCUUCGCGUCUCAGGCGUUCUCGUCGCCCAGAUCUGACUUCGACCUUCCACGCCGAAGCCGCCCGCGUCCGAGCCGCAAGUCCUUCUGCCACUCGACUCGUCGCGCCACCGCCUGCACCAGCUACGUCCCUGAGCAUUCUGCCUUUUCUCUUCAACUCGUCGCUGACCGGAGCCUCCAACAGCCAGCCACAUCUAUCCGGCGCUGCCCAGCUCCUGUCGCCGCCGUCGUUGCUUGUGCCGUCAUUAGAUUUAUCAACUUGGGUAAGAUUUCUACUGUUUGGGGUUGUUUUCAAUUGAUUCUUGACUGCCCAUUUACUUUUGGCACCAAUCGAUUGAGGCCUUUAUGUGUCAACUUUGGAUUCAUGUUCUUGAAGAUAUUAAGGUGUUUUUAGGUGAAGUUGGAAUUGUUUUGCAGAUUUGGUGCGCUUCAUAUCACACCUUAGGGUCUUACUUGGAGUUGCUAGUUUCGUUGGCUGUCUGAGAUUAUCUGCGGAUUUUUGAUUUAGGUAAAGGUAGAGAUGCAUUGGCGAUGGACAAGCGGAAUUCGUGAUCGAGCCAUUGGGACUAG